GGUCAAGCUAGAAAGGGCUAACGGUGGAUACCUAGGUACGCAGAGGCGAAGAAGGACGUAGUUACCGACGAUACGCUCCGGGGAGCUGGAAACAAGCAAUGAGCCGGAGGUUUCCGAAUGGGAGAACCCCAAGUACGACCUACUGAAUUCAUAGGUAGGAACGAGCCAACCCAGUGAACUGAAACAUCUUAGUAGCUGGAGGAAGAGAAAGCAAAAGCGAUUUCCCCAGUAGCGGCGAGCGAAAAGGAAACAGCCUAAACCAUAUGCUAAGGCAAAUGGGGUUGUGGGACAGCGAUAUGGUAGAGCAGAAAUUAGACAAAGCAUUUGAAAGGUGCACCAGAGAAGGUGAAAGUCCUGUAGUCGAAAAUAGAAGCCACCUAGCUGGAUCCCGAGUAGCACGGAGCCCGAGGAAUUCCGUGUGAAUCAGCGAGGACCACCUCGUAAGGCUAAAUACUCCUGCGUAACCGAUAGCGAAAAGUACCGCGAGGGAAAGGUGAAAAGAACCCCGGUAAGGGGAGUGAAAUAGAACAUGAAACCGUUAGCCUACAAGCAAUUAGAGCAUGAUUGAACGUGUGAUAGUGUGCCUGUUGAAGAAUGAGCCGGCGACUUACAGGAUGUGGCAGGUUAAGGGAGAAACCCGAAGCCAGAGUGAAAGCGAGCCUGAGAAGGGCGGUCGUCACAUUUUGUAGACCCGAACCCGGGUGAUCUAACCAUGUCCAGGAUGAAGCUUGGGUAAAGCCAAGUGGAGGUCCGAACCGACUAGCGUUGAAAAGCUAGCGGAUGAGGUGUGGUUAGGGGUGAAAUGCCAAUCGAACCCGGAGCUAGCUGGAUCUCCUCGAAAUGCGUUUAGGCGCAGCGGUUGGUUAAUAAUGCAGGGGGGUAAAGCACUGUUUCGCUGCGGGCUGCGAGAGCGGUACCAAAGUGAGGCAAACUCAGAAUACCCUGUAGAGUACAACCAGUGAGACGGUGGGGGAUAAGCUUCAUCGUCGAAAGGGAAACAGCCCAGACCACCAGCUAAGGUCCCAAAAUGGAUGCUAAGUGAGAAAGGAGGUGGGAGUGCAUAGACAACCAGGAGGUUUGCCUAGAAGCAGCAAUCCUUGAAAGAGUGCGUAAUAGCUCACUGGUCAAGCGCUCCUGCGCCGAAAAUGAACGGGGCUAAGCAUCCUACCGAAGCUGUGGACUUUGACUUAGGUCAAAGUGGUAGAGGAGCGUUCUGUAUAGGGAGAAGCACUAGCGGUGAGCAGGUGUGGACAGUACAGAAGCGAGAAUGUCGGCUUAAGUAGCGAAAAUUUGGGUGAGAAUCCCAAACCCCGGAAGCCCAAGGGUUUCUUCGGAAGGCUCGUCCGCGAAGAGUUAGUCGGGACCUAAGGCGAGGCCGAAAGGCGUAGUCGAUGGAGACAGGGUUAAUAUUCCCUGACUAAACUGUGGGAGCUGUAGUGAGGACGCAUGAAAAAUAGCUAAACCCUGAAUGGAUUGGGAGUUUUCCACGGAGAACGCUUAGUGAAAGAUAGUGCCAAGAAAAGCCAUUACAGUGAUGAAAGCAGAAUACCCGUACCCGAAACCGACACAGGUGGGCAAGUUGAGAAUACUAAGGGGCGCGAGAUAACUCUCUCUAAGGAACUCGGCAAAAUGACCCCGUAACUUCGGGAGAAGGGGUGCCAGCGAGAGCUGGUCGCAGUGAAGAGGCCCAAGCGACUGUUUACCAAAAACAUAGGUCUCUGCCAACUCGAAAGAGGACGUAUAGGGGCUGACGCCUGCCCAGUGCCGGAAGGUUAAGGAAGUUGGUCAGUUCUUCGGAAUGAAGCUAACGACUGAAGCCCCGGUGAACGGCGGCCGUAACUAUAACGGUCCUAAGGUAGCGAAAUUCCUUGUCGGGUAAGUUCCGACCCGCACGAAAGGCGUAACGAUUUGGGCACUGUCUCGGAGAGAGGCUCGGCGAAAUAGGAAUGUCUGUGAAGAUACGGACUACCUGCACCUGGACAGAAAGACCCUAUGAAGCUUUACUGUAGCUUGGAAUUGGGUUCGGGCUUUGCUUGCGCAGCAUAGGUGGGAGGCGUUGAGAUAGCCCUUGUGGGGGUUAAGGAGCCGAAAAGUGAGAUACCACUCUAGUAGAGCUAGAAUUCUAACUUGAACCCGUAAGCCGGGAGAAGGAAAGUUUCAGGUGGGCAGUUUGACUGGGGCGGUCGCCUCCAAAAAGGUAACGGAGGCGCGCAAAGGUUCCCUCAGGCUGGUUGGAAAUCAGCCAAAGAGUGCAAAGGCAGAAGGGAGCUUGACUGCGAGACAAACAAGUCAAGCAGGGUGGAAACACGGCCUUAGUGAUCCGACGGUGCUGAGUGGAAAGGCCGUCGCUCAACGGAUAAAAGUUACUCUAGGGAUAACAGGCUGAUCUCCCCCAAGAGUUCACAUCGACGGGGAGGUUUGGCACCUCGAUGUCGGCUCAUCGCAACCUGGGGCUGAAGUAGGUCCCAAGGGUUGGGCUGUUCGCCCAUUAAAGCGGUACGUGAGCUGGGUUCAGAACGUCGUGAGACAGUUCGGUCCAUAUCCGGUGCAGGCGUAAGAGCAUUGAGAGGAGUCUUCCUUAGUACGAGAGGACCGGGAAGAACGCACCGCUGGUGUACCAGUUAUCGUGCCAACGGUAGACGCUGGGUAGCCAAGUGCGGAGAGGAUAACCGCUGAAAGCAUCUAAGUGGGAAGCCCACCUCAAGAUGAGUGCUCUCAUGGAGUAAUCCAGUAAGGUCACGGGAAGAACACCCGUUAAUAGGAGCUAGGUGGAAGAGCAGUAAUGUUCGGAGCCGAGGCUAGCUAACAGACCGAGGGCUUGUCCUA
rfam:Xenococcus sp. PCC 7305 scaffold_00019, whole genome shotgun sequence.